GGUGGACUGGCUGAUUUGGGAGCUGCUCAAAGAGUCUCUGAUGGUCUCCUGGGAGGUCCAGACAGUUGACUCGACGCUUUUGAUACUGGCCUCGGGACUGUGAGUAAUUGAGAGGGGGACGUCGACUCUGGCCCGGACUGGUGACGUGGAGCUUUGAAGACUUAACUUGGGACCCUGGACACUUGGUUGGCUGUGUGGAACCGAUCUCUUCAUGGGAGGAGGACCGCAAGUUCGUCCUGCGAGCCUGGUGUCUUGUCUUCAUCAUCCUGGCAACCGCGAUGCUGCUCAGCGUGCUGGACGGGCGUAUGGCCUACCUGCACGGCGCCUACACCGGCUACGUGGGCUUCUGGACCAACUGCAAGAAGCAUACAUGUGCCGACCUGCGCCAAGUCACGGUUCUCAUCCACAUGAGCAUGGGCUUCAUGAUCCUGGCCGUGAUCCUGGCUCUAGUUCUCCUCCUGGCCAUGGGCUUCUCCUUCCGGCCAGCACUCCGCCGUCUUAACAAGACUGACCUCGUCUUCAGUACCCUCAGCUCCUUCACUGUCAUGCAGGAUGGGAGAGGAUGUCUCUGGCUCGCUUCUCUUUCUGGAGGUCUCUGGGUCCCUGUCCAGCCUCGUGUCCAUCUCUGGCCCCAUCUCAGUGCAGGGCUCCUGAUUCUCCUCAGCCUGACGCUCUUUAUAGCCAACUGCGAGAUGCUCAAACCGAGGCCACAGGAAUCCUGAGCUACUUAAACUACAUGGGCAUGUGGGGCAAAGGGACGUCCUCCACGGAACGGCGGAUGAGCUACCGCCGGUGGGCCUCGCUGCAGAACACCCGGAAGUCCAUAUCCGAACAGCUGUCGUCGGACGCAGGCUCCAAGCACGCCGAAAACUGAGGUAUAGUUUACUUA
rnacentral:lncRNA from 1 species